AGAUUGAACGCUGGCGGCAUGCUUUACACAUGCAUGUCGAACGGUAGAGUAGCAAUACUUGAGAGUGGCGAACGGGUGAGUAAUAUAUCGGAACGUGCCCAGUCGUGGGGGAUAACGUAGAGAAAUUUACGCUAAUACCGCAUACGAUCUAAGGAUGAAAGCGGGGGACCGUAAGGCCUCGCGCGAUUGGAGCGGCUGAUAUCAGAUUAGCUAGUUGGUAGGGGUAAAAGCCUACCAAGGCGACGAUCUGUAGCUGGUCUGAGAGGACGACCAGCCACACUGGAACUGAGACACGGUCCAGACUCCUACGGGAGGCAGCAGUGGGGAAUUUUGGACAAUGGGCGCAAGCCUGAUCCAGCAAUGCCGCGUGCAGGAUGAAGGCCUUGGUUGUAAACGUGUCCUUGUACGGAACGUAACGGUUCGCCGUUAAGUACGGUGGCUAAGUGACGGUACGUAAGAAUAAGCACGGACUAACUACGU
rnacentral:rRNA from 1 species